AUUGAACGCUGGCGGCAGGCCUAACACAUGCAAGUCGAGCGAGCGGCGGACGUGUGAGUAAUGUCCGGGAAACUGCCCGAUGGAGGGGGAUAACUACUGGAAACGGUAGCUAAUACCGCAUACCAUCGGAUGUGCCCAGAUGGGAUUAGCUUGUAGGUGAGGUAACGGCUCACCUAUGCCACGAUCCCUAGCUGGUCUGAGAGGAUGACCAGCCACACUGGAACGGAUACACGGUCCAGACUCCUACGUGAGGCAGCAGUGGGGAAUAUUGCACAAUGGGCGCAAGACUGAUGCAGCCAUGCCGCGUGUAUGAAGAAGGCCUUCGGGUUGUAAAGUACUUUCAGCGGGGAGGCGUUACCCGCAGAAGAAGCACCGGCUAACUCCGUGCCAGCAGCCGCGGUAAUUC
rnacentral:rRNA from 1 species